rnacentral:rRNA from 1 species
UACAGAGGUGGCAAGCGUUGUUCGGAAUUACUGGGCGUAAAGGGCGCGUAGGCGGUUCGAUAAGUCCCGUGUGAAAUCCCUCGGCUCAACUGAGGAAUGGCACGGGAAACUGACGGGCUGGAGUUCGGCAGGGGAGACUGGAAUUCCUGGUGUAGCGGUGAAAUGCGCAGAUAUCAGGAGGAACACCGGUGGCGAAGGCGGGUCUCUGGGCCGAUACUGACGCUGAGGAGCGAAAGCGUGGGGAGCGAACAGG